UCUACAAAAAGCCUUAAUAUUUACAAAAAUUAGUCUAGUUUAUAUAAUUAGGGUAAUGUGAAAAACGCUUUAUUUUCUCUUUGUCAAAACUUGAUUGAUAACUUCACUGUUUUUAAAUUUUUAAUUAUACUGGACCAAUUUAACAUUUUCACUGCACUACUUCCUUUUUAAUUGAUCAGGGAACUCAGUACGUAGGACAAGGCAUGAAUUUUGAAAAAGUAAUGAGUGAUUUGUAACAAUAUUUUGGUGCUUUUUAUUGCCCUACAAUACAAAUUUCUAAUUUCAUAAUAAGUUUGAUUUUGGGAAAUAAAAUGUGAAUGAGGAAAGAUUUUUGAGGAAAUAUUAUAAUGAAUUCCUAAUUUACCUCUCUAAAUUUCUUUUUACGCCUGGAAGAAAAUGAAGACAAUAUAGAAUUAGCCUAGUUUACUAAGCAUGAAAUUCUUCCAAAAUGUUCCGGAAAUAGUUUAUUUUUAGGUUUUUCAUAUACUACUUUCAAUUCGAGAAGCAAAUUAUUUUCGUUAAUGUGGAAUUAUUCAAUCUUUUAAAGAUUUUAUUUCUAAUUAGUAACAUCCCAGAAGCUCGUAAAUAUCAACAUUCUUCUUUUAUUUUUUUGAAAGUGAAACCUACUCUGCAGUAACCUAUUCAAGUUAUUCCCUCAGUAAUUUUUUAAUUAUCUGUUUAUGCUGAAGAUUUGGUUCACCUGGAAUUGGUGCGUAAAGUUUUCAAAUCAAUCAAUCAUUUAAAGCACUAAUUAGAAACAUUUCAUAAAUGAUUUGGUGUUAAAACAUUUAACUCUACUAAUUGCACCAAGGUUACAGAGUCAAUGCUAAAAAUUAAUUUUAUUUUUGAAAAAAAAAUCAUGCAAUUUUUGGUGCAUUUUUGAAUAGAGAAGACACGUUUUUUUUGUUAGCGGAAAUUGCAGAAAUUCAUUUGAAAAUUCUCGUGUGGAAUACGUAAAACAUUAUUUAUAUUGGUAAUAGUGUCGUAAAUAUUGAAGAGGUGUGUGACUGAAAUAUUUUAGAGAGAGUCUCUUGUGUGCUUGCAUGUGAUAUAAUUAAUUUGUAUGGGGAAUUUGUUCGCUCUGACACCUUGACUAUAAUAAAAAAUAAAUAAAUAGGAAAAUUGAGAGGAAAAUAAUUAAACUGGAUUCUGAAAGAUAAAAUUCUGGUCUUUUUUCGUGUUUAGUCCGCCCCACGGGUAAAAUUCGCACCGGAGCCCCAAGUUGUCCAUACACCAACGAGUCAAACAUCUCAGAACUACCCAAAUCCCAAUCCCCUGCAGCGCUCAAAGAGCCUCUCGUCGGCAGAUACCAUUGCACGCGGAAUUGCCGGAUUGGGCCUGGCGCUAGGAAAUGAAGCUACGGACUUUGGUACAUUUCCGCCAGAAGUACAGUCACUGGUGGACAAAGCCACGGAAGAUCCCAACCAACUGAAUGCGCGAAAUCUGAUGGAAUUGGCUUGUCAUGUGAUGCAGAGAGCCGUGGAAGCUCGAAGAUAUGCGCUUCCCAUUUCCCGCUUGUGCAUUGGCAUUGUGGCUAAGGAGAGGAAAGAAACCUUCCUCGAAGCACUUCUCAACACUUGCCGGCAGUGGUUCCAAGAGAGGGAUAAGGUAUUUAUUCUUUUCCCAUUUACAAUACAUUUUCUCUUCUCGCUCAAUCAAUUUUUAUAUGUCUUAUUAUUUGAGGAACUGCACAGAGACAUGACAGAUUUAUCGCAAGGUCAAUAAAAGAGUUUCUGGGUAGUUGAAGAUGAAAAAAAAAAAUAAAGUUUUGAGUCAUUCUUUAACACCUUAGAGAGAAAUGAAGUCAUUUAGCGCUUGUUGAACACCUUUUUCUGGUUUUUUUUUGCAACAAUUCACCUACCCACAAGAUCACAGAUAACUUUGAGGCAUUAUUAAAUUCAAAGCCACGGUAACAAUGACAAAAA